rnacentral:rRNA from 1 species
UAGGGAAUCUUCCACAAUGGACGCAAGUCUGAUGGAGCAACGCCGCGUGAGUGAAGAAGGUUUUCGGACCGUAAAGCUCUGUUGUUGGUGAAGAAGGAUAGAGGUAGUAACUGGCCUUUAUUUGACGGUAAUCAACCAGAAAGUCACGGCUAACUACGUGCCAGCAGCCGCGGUAAUACGUAGGUGGCAAGCGUUGUCCGGAUUUAUUGGGCGUAAAGCGAGCGCAGGCGGAAGAAUAAGUCUGAUGUGAAAGCCCUCGGCUUAACCGAGGAAUUGCAUCGGAAACUGUUCUUCUUGAGUGCAGAAGAGGAGAGUAGAACUCCAUGUGUAGCGGUGGAAUGCGUAGAUAUAUGGAAGAAUACCAGUGGCGAAGGCGGCUCUCUGGUCUGCAACUGACGCUGAGGCUCGAAAGCAUGGGUAGCGAACAGGAUUAGAUACCCUGGUAGUCCAUGCCGUAAAACGAUGAGUGCUAAGUGUUGGGAGGCUUCCGCCUCUCAGUGCUGCAGCUAACGCAUUAAGCACUCCGCCUGGGGGAGUACGACCGCAAGGUUGAAAC